rnacentral:rRNA from 1 species
GGCUCAGUACGAACGCUGGCGGCGCGCCUAACACAUGCAAGUCGAACGAGAGAUGAGGAGCUUGCUCUUCAAAUCGAGUGGCGAACGGGUGAGUAACGCGUGAGGAACCUGCCUCAAAGAGGGGGACAACAGUUGGAAACGACUGCUAAUACCGCAUAAGCCCACGGCUCGGCAUCGAGCAGAGGGAAAAGGAGCAAUCCGCUUUGAGAUGGCCUCGCGUCCGAUUAGCUAGUUGGUGAGGUAAUGGCCCACCAAGGCGACGAUCGGUAGCCGGACUGAGAGGUUGAACGGCCACAUUGGGACUGAGACACGGCCCAGACUCCUACGGGAGGCAGCAGUGGGGAAUAUUGCACAAUGGGGGAAACCCUGAUGCAGCGACGCCGCGUGGAGGAAGAAGGUCUUCGGAUUGUAAACUCCUGUUGUUGAGGAAGAUAAUGACGGUACUCAACAAGGAAGUGACGGCUAACUACGUGCCAGCAGCCGCGGUAAAACGUAGGUCACAAGCGUUGUCCGGAAUUACUGGGUGUAAAGGGAGCGCAGGCGGGAGAACAAGUUGGAAGUGAAAUCCAUGGGCUCAACCCAUGAACUGCUUUCAAAACUGUUUUUCUUGAGUAGUGCAGAGGUAGGCGGAAUUCCCGGUGUAGCGGUGGAAUGCGUAGAUAUCGGGAGGAACACCAGUGGCGAAGGCGGCCUACUGGGCACCAACUGACGCUGAGGCUCGAAAGUGUGGGUAGCAAACAGGAUUAGAUACCCUGGUAGUCCACACCGUAAACGAUGAUUACUAGGUGUUGGGGGAUUGACCCCUUCAGUGCCGCAGUUAACACAAUAAGUAAUCCACCUGGGGAGUACGACCGCAAGGUUGAAACUCAAAGGAAUUGACGGGGGCCCGCACAAGCAGUGGAGUAUGUGGUUUAAUUCGACGCAACGCGAAGAACCUUACCAAGUCUUGACAUCCCUUGACGAACAUAGAAAUAUGUUUUCUCUUCGGAGCAAGGAGACAGGUGGUGCAUGGUUGUCGUCAGCUCGUGUCGUGAGAUGUUGGGUUAAGUCCCGCAACGAGCGCAACCCUUAUGGUCAGUUACUACGCAAGAGGACUCUGGCCAGACUGCCGUUGACAAAACGGAGGAAGGUGGGGAUGACGUCAAAUCAUCAUGCCCUUUAUGACUUGGGCUACACACGUACUACAAUGGCGUUAAACAAAGAGAAGCAAGACCGCGAGGUGGAGCAAAACUCAGAAACAACGUCCCAGUUCGGACUGCAGGCUGCAACUCGCCUGCACGAAGUCGGAAUUGCUAGUAAUCGUGGAUCGGCAUGCCACGGUGAAUACGUUCCCGGGCCUUGUACACACCGCC